AUGCGCCCAUGCCUGUGCCGGCAAGCCGCCAGUGUCCGGGCCAACAAGCUUGAGCCUAAGGAGCGCUACGACGGGAUGAUGACGGAGGUGUAUGAGGCGGAACAAGUGCCAGCACCGAUCAUGGAGCAUCUCUCCGUUUUUCGAUGGUUGAGGGGCAAGGGAGCUUUCUCGGUGUUGGGUGCUUUGUUUGCCGGUGGUGGUGGCAAGAAAAUUUUCAAGAAGAAUGCAGAGGGCUCCCAGCCUCCCAUGUCUCUAAGCGCUCGAGGAGCAAACAUACUGCUCUCGUUGAGAAAAAGAACAAGCGCUAAUGCGAGCAAAGAAAUGGUGAUGUGCGUCCCAGAAAGUGGAGGAGCUAGAUGUUCCUGGAUUGUCACGGGCUCAUCGCCACUUCGACUGGAUGACGAACAACGCCGAUGUGGGUGCUUUCAGUUUACUUCAUAUAUACCCACGCGUACAAGGAAAUCAUCCACGAGUUCCUAA
rnacentral:rRNA from 1 species